AUUGAACGCUGGCGGCAGGCUUAACACAUGCAAGUCGAGCGAGCGGCGGACGGGUGAGUAAUGUCUGGGAAACUGCAUGAUGGAGGGGGAUAACUACUGGAAACGGUAGCUAAUACCGCAUACCAUCAGAUGUGCCCAGAUGGGAUUAGCUAGUAGGUGGGGUAAUGGCUCACCUAGGCGACGAUCCCUAGCUGGGCUGUGAGGAUGACCAGCCCCCCUGGAACUUGGACACGGUCCAGACUCCUACGGGAGGAAGCAGUGGGGAAUAUUGCACAAUGGGCGCAAUCCUGAUGCAGCCAUGCCCGGGUUGUGAAGAAGGCCUUCGGGUUGUAAAGCACUUUCAGCGAGGAGGCGUUACUCGCAGAAGAAGCACCGGCUAACUCCGUGCCAGCAGCCGCGGUAAUUC
rnacentral:rRNA from 1 species